rnacentral:rRNA from 1 species
CAGCCGCCGCGGGAACACGAAGGGUGCAAGCGUUAAUCGGAAUUACUGGGCGUAAAGCGUGCGUAGGCGGUUUGUUAAGUCUGCUGUGAAAUCCCCGGGCUUAACCUGGGAACUGCGUUUGGGACUGGUUGGCUUGAGUUCGGGAGAGGAGAGUGGAAUUCCCAGUGUAGAGGUGAAAUUCGUAGAUAUUGGGAAGAACACCGGUGGCGAAGGCGGCUCUCUGGGCCGAUACUGACGCUGAGGCGCGAAAGCGUGGGGAGCAAACAGGAUUAGAGACCCGGGUAGUCCCUGUCUCUUAUAC